rnacentral:piRNA from 1 species
UCAGAGUUUUUCGAAAAAAAA